rnacentral:rRNA from 1 species
UCUGGUUGAUCCUGCCUGAACUGAUGUGUUUAUUUCAAAGAUUAAGCCAUGCAUGUAUAAGUUUAAUCGUUUAUCGAGAAACCGCGAACGGCUCAUUACAAUGGCCAUUAUUUACUUGAUCUUGAUUGUCUAAAUGGAUAACUGUGGAAAAGCUAGAGCUAAUACAUGCACUAAAGCUUUGUCCUUACGGAAAAGCGCAUUUAUUAGAACAAAACCACGCGGCUUCGGCUGCUUCUUGUUGACUCAGAAUAACUUAGCUGACCGCAUGGCCUUGUGCCGGCGGCGUGUCUUUCAAGCGUCCACUUUAUCAACUUGACGGGAGCAUAAUCGACUCCCGUGGUGGUGACGGAUAACGGAGGAUCAGGGUUCGACUCCGGAGAAGGGGCCUGAGAAAUGGCCACUACGUCUAAGGAUGGCAGCAGGCGCGCAAAUUACCCACUCUCGGCUCGAGGAGGUAGUGACGAGAAAUAACGAGACUGUUCUCUUUGAGGCCGGUCAUCGGAAUGGGUACAAUUUAAACCCUUUAACGAGUAUCAAGCAGAGGGAAGUCUGGUGCCAGCAGCCGCGGUAAUUCCAGCUCUGCAAAUACAUAGAAUUAUUGCUGCGGUUAGAAAGCUCAUAGUUGGAUUCGUAUCGAUACCUUGGAACCCUUCGGGUGUCUCUAGGUGUUAUCGAUUUAUCGUAAUGUUCGGUUUUGAGUCCUUAACAGGAUUCUUAACAGGCAUUGCAAGUUUACUUUGAACAAAUCAGAGUGCUUCAAACAGGCGUUUUCGCUUGAAUGAUCGUGCAUGGAAUAAUAGAAAAUGAUUUCGGUUCAGUUUUAUUGGUUUUACGGACUGAGAUAAUGGUUAACAGAGACAAACGGGGGCAUUUGUAUGGUCCCGUGAGAGGUGAAAUUCUUGGACCGUGGCCAGACAAACUACAGCGAAAGCAUUUGCCAAGAAUGUUUUUAUUAAUCAAGAACGAAAGUCAGAGGUUCGAAGGCGAUCAGAUACCGCCCUAGUUCUGACCGUAAACGAUGCCAACUAGCGAUCCGCCGAUGGAAAUUAUAUUGCCUUGGUGGGGAGCUUCCCGGAAACGAAAGUCUUCCGGUUCCGGGGGAAGUAUGGUUGCAAAGCUGAAACUUAAAGGAAUUGACGGAAGGGCACCACCAGGAGUGGAGCCUGCGGCUUAAUUUGACUCAACACGGGGAAACUCACCCGGCCCGGACACUGUGAGGAUUGACAGAUUGAUAGCUUUUUCAUGAUUCAGUGGAUGGUGGUGCAUGGCCGUUCUUAGUUCGUGGAGUGAUUUGUCUGGUUUAUUCCGAUAACGAGCGAGACUCUAACCUACUAAAUAGUUGGUACAUACUCUUAGUGUAUACAGCUUCUUAGAGGGAUUUGCGGCGUUCAGCCGAAAGAAAUUGAGCAAUAACAGGUCUGUGAUGCCCUUAGAUGUCCGGGGCUGCACGCGCGCUACACUGGCAAAAUCAACGUGCUUGUCCUACCCUGAAAGGGGCGGGUAAACCAUUGAAAAUUUGCCGUGAUUGGGAUCGGAAAUUGCAAUUAUUUUCCGUGAACGAGGAAUUCCAAGUAAGUGCGAGUCAUCAGCUCGCGUUGAUUACGUCCCUGCCCUUUGUACACACCGCCCGUCGCUGCCCGGGACUGAGCCAUUUCGAGAAAUUUGGGGACCGUUGAUUUAAUUUUUCUAAAUUACUUUGAUGGAAACCAAUUUAAUCGCAGUGGCUUGAACCGGGCAAAAGUCGUAACAAGGUAGCUGUAGGUGAACCUGCUGCUG